ensembl:lncRNA
CACCUGUAACUCACGUGACCCUGAUUAUUAUUGAAACGAGAACGAGGGCGUUGUGCCUUUAUAAGACUGCGUUAUUGUUUCCGUGGAGUUAUCCCUUCCGUUGUUGUUUAUUGAUUGUUAAACAUGGCUUCAUUUGCAAAGGUGGUUGUGUGUGUCCUCAUUGCUUGUGUCUGUAAUGCAUUCUGUUUUCCGAAGAGAGAUGUGAACUUUAAGGCCUCUGCAGUUGACCGCCAAAGUGAUGAUGUGGUUGUCACCACAACACCUGAUCCCCACAACCAGACCACAUCUGCCCAUACUGAAGCUGGUGGUGGUGCAAGUGAAGAUGCUGUGGCUACUUCCCCAGCACCUAAUCCACACAACCAGACAACUUCUGCACAAACUGAAGUUACUGAUGGAGCCAGUGAAGAUGCUGUGGACCGCCAAAGUGAUGAUGUGGUUGUGGCCACAACACCCGAUCCCCACAACCAGACCACAUCUGCCCAUACUGAAGCUGGCGGUGCAAGUGAAGAUGCUGUCGCUACUACCCCAGCACCUAAUCCACACAACCAGACAACUUCUGCACAAACUGAAGUUACUGAUGGAGCCAGUGAAGAUGCUGUGGACCGCCAAAGUGAUGAUGUGGUUGUCACCACAACACCCGAUCCCCACAACCAGACCACAUCUGCCCAUACUGAAGCUGGUGAUGGAGCAAGUGAAGAUGCUGUGGCUACCACCCCAACACCAAAUCCCCCAACUACAUCUGACCACACUGCAGCUACCGAUGAUGCAAGUGAGGGUGCUGUGGCUGCCCAAACUGGAACUACUGUAUCCCAUACGACUGAAGUCUGAUUCGACUGCUCCUCUGGUCACAAUGACCUGAGUCACUGUCUGGACUUUUUGCCUCUACAUGUUGACUGCAAUAAAGGACAGAUUU